rnacentral:rRNA from 1 species
GACGAACGCUGGCGGCGUGCUUAACACAUGCAAGUCGAACGGAAAGGCCCUGCUUUUGUGGGGUGCUCGAGUGGCGAACGGGUGAGUAACACGUGAGUAACCUGCCCUUGACUUUGGGAUAACUUCAGGAAACUGGGGCUAAUACCGGAUAGGAGCUCCUGCUGCAUGGUGGGGGUUGGAAAGUUUCGGCGGUUGGGGAUGGACUCGCGGCUUAUCAGCUUGUUGGUGGGGUAGUGGCUUACCAAGGCUUUGACGGGUAGCCGGCCUGAGAGGGUGACCGGCCACAUUGGGACUGAGAUACGGCCCAGACUCCUACGGGAGGCAGCAGUGGGGAAUAUUGCACAAUGGGCGGAAGCCUGAUGCAGCAACGCCGCGUGCGGGAUGACGGCCUUCGGGUUGUAAACCGCUUUCGCCUGUGACGAAGCGUGAGUGACGGUAAUGGGUAAAGAAGCACCGGCUAACUACGUGCCAGCAGCCGCGGUGAUACGUAGGGUGCGAGCGUUGUCCGGAUUUAUUGGGCGUAAAGGGCUCGUAGGUGGUUGAUCGCGUCGGAAGUGUAAUCUUGGGGCUUAACCCUGAGCGUGCUUUCGAUACGGGUUGACUUGAGGAAGGUAGGGGAGAAUGGAAUUCCUGGUGGAGCGGUGGAAUGCGCAGAUAUCAGGAGGAACACCAGUGGCGAAGGCGGUUCUCUGGGCCUUUCCUGACGCUGAGGAGCGAAAGCGUGGGGAGCGAACAGGCUUAGAUACCCUGGUAGUCCACGCUGUAAACGGUGGGUACUAGGUGUGGGGUCCAUUCCACGGGUUCCGUGCCGUAGCUAACGCUUUAAGUACCCCGCCUGGGGAGUACGGCCGCAAGGCUAAAACUCAAAGGAAUUGACGGGGCCCCGCACAAGCGGCGGAGCAUGCGGAUUAAUUCGAUGCAACGCGUAGAACCUUACCUGGGUUUGACAUGGAUCGGGAGUGCUCAGAGAUGGGUGUGCCUCUUUUGGGGUCGGUUCACAGGUGGUGCAUGGCUGUCGUCAGCUCGUGUCGUGAGAUGUUGGGUUAAGUCCCGCAACGAGCGCAACCCUUGUUCACUGUUGCCAGCACGUUAUGGUGGGGACUCAGUGGAGACCGCCGGGGUCAACUCGGAGGAAGGUGGGGAUGACGUCAAGUCAUCAUGCCCCUUAUGUCCAGGGCUUCACGCAUGCUACAAUGGCUGGUACAGAGAGUGGCGAGCCUGUGAGGGUGAGCGAAUCUCGGAAAGCCGGUCUCAGUUCGGAUUGGGGUCUGCAACUCGACCUCAUGAAGUCGGAGCCGCUAGUAAUCGCAGAUCAGCAACGCUGCGGUGAAUACGUUCCCGGGGCU